rnacentral:sRNA from 1 species
CGUGGGGCGCUUGGAGUGAGGGUUCUGGUUCCCGCCGGCGAGGGAGCCCCGACGCUUAUCCCAAGAUUCGGCGGGAAAGCGGAUCCCGAACCCAGGCCUAGGCUUCGCCUGUCUUCCAGGAGGGCUUCAGGGAAUUGCGAACCCUCCCCUACAUCGGGGUGGCUGCGCCUGACCACAGGAAUUAAAGGCUGGACUCGCCUGUCUUACCGAGUUGUCAGGUCGAGGAACCCGAUUGUAUGGUCUUAAGUCCUAUCGCCCGAGGUUUUCUGUGCGUAUGCGUGUCCGCACACCUGCAUAGCAGGCAUUUUUCAGGUGUGUAGGAUUAAGAUGAUGCGGAUUACCCUGCCCCACUGCUCUUAGUAAUACGUGACUAUUAUAGAAAAUUGCAAACAUAGAAGACUUUAGUGAAGAAAACAAUAUUCACUGAACCCUUUCACCUACGAUCAUUUUCUCUUGUAUGUGCUAGCUUCUACUUGAACUAAGAGUGUACAUGUUUAAUCACUUAACAGUAUAGUUUCCCACUUCCAUUUAAAAACUCUUCCUAAAUAUUAUUCUAAUUUU